rnacentral:lncRNA from 1 species
UUUCAUCACAAAUGUAUCAGUUGUGAUCAGUAAAUACUCUGUAUGAGUUCUUUAAGAAAUUUACUGCUUUUUCACGUUGGCUCUUAAAACAAAUAUGCAUCCGAGUUACACGAGGAGACCAGCUAUUUCACAUCUGCUGUACUUUCCAUUUCAACAGGUUGGAGAACAAAAGCCUUCAGGUUGUUGCUGACAGCAGAUUUCUAAUGAGGACAUUCUUUCAUAGAGCAAUAUUUAAGAGCAUGGGGAGGAAUGAGCUCACUGUUCACAAGUGUUCUGACCGUAGAAUCCUAGGAGAAUUUUGGCUUUUUAUCUUUAUGAAAACGCAUAUGUAUAAACACAUAUAUAUAAUUCAAUGUCUGUGUGCAACCUUCUCAGCAAAAGGUCUUUCACCAAGAAUGGGGUGGCCCUCUGGCUGUAAACAAGAGAUCCUCUAA